rnacentral:misc_RNA from 1 species
UCGGAAAGCACCCAUUGCAGCCCUUGGUUUUCGAGUGCAAUGCAACAAAUGGGCAAUCAUUGUUCGCUUGCUGCUAGGAGAAAUCCCUGAGAGGACCGUUUUCAUGCAGAAAGGCAUGGAGACAGCUCUGAGGCCAUACUUUGAACUUACAAAUGCUGUGAGAAUUGGUGACUUGGAGCUUUUCAGGACAGUUGCCGAGAAGUUCUCUGGCACUUUCAGCUCAGAUCGAACUAACAACUUGAUCGUGAGGCUGCGACACAAUGUCAUUAGGACUGG